rnacentral:rRNA from 1 species
GACGAACGCUGGCGGCGUGCCUAAUACAUGCAAGUAGAACGCUGAAGGAGGAGCUUGCUCUUCUGGAUGAGUUGCGAACGGGUGAGUAACGCGUAGGUAACCUGCCUGGUAGCGGGGGAUAACUAUUGGAAACGAUAGCUAAUACCGCAUAAGAGUAGAUGUUGCAUGACAUUUACUUAAAAGGUGCAAUUGCAUCACUACCAGAUGGACCUGCGUUGUAUUAGCUAGUUGGUGGGGUAACGGCUUACCAAGGCGACGAUACAUAGCCGACCUGAGAGGGGGGUCGGCCACACUGGGACUGAGACACGGCCCAGACUCCUACGGGAGGCAGCAGUAGGGAAUCUUCGGCAAUGGACGGAAGUCUGACCGAGCAACGCCGCGUGAGUGAAGAAGGUUUUCGGAUCGUAAAGCUCUGUUGUAAGAGAAGAACGAGUGUGAGAGUGGAAAGUUCACACUGUGACGGUAGCUUACCAGAAAGGGACGGCUAACUACGUG